rnacentral:rRNA from 1 species
AACGAACGCUGGCGGCAGGCUUAACACAUGCAAGUCGAACGCCCCGCAAGGGGAGUGGCAGACGGGUGAGUAACGCGUGGGAACAUACCCUUUUCUACGGAAUAGCUCUGGGAAACUGGAAUUAAUACCGUAUACGCCCUACGGGGGAAAGAUUUAUCGGGGAAGGAUUGGCCCGCGUUGGAUUAGCUAGUUGGUGGGGUAAAGGCCUACCAAGGCGACGAUCCAUAGCUGGUCUGAGAGGAUGAUUAGCCACAUUGGGACUGAGACACGGCCCAAACUCCUACGGGAGGCAGCAGUGGGGAAUAUUGGACAAUGGGCGCAAGCCUGAUCCAGCCAUGCCGCGUGAGUGAUGAAGGCCUUAGGGUUGUAAAGCUCUUUCACCGAUGAAGAUAAUGACGGUAGUCGGAGAAGAAGCCCCGGCUAACUUCGUG